GUGUCUGGUGGGUAGUUUGACUGGGGCGGUCUCCUCCUAAAGAGUAACGGAGGAGCACGAAGGUUGGCUAAUCCUGGUCGGACAUCAGGAGGUUAGUGCAAUGGCAUAAGCCAGCUUGACUGCGAGCGUGACGGCGCGAGCAGGUGCGAAAGCAGGUCAUAGUGAUCCGGUGGUUCUGAAUGGAAGGGCCAUCGCUCAACGGAUAAAAGGUACUCCGGGGAUAACAGGCUGAUACCGCCCAAGAGUUCAUAUCGACGGCGGUGUUUGGCACCUCGAUGUCGGCUCAUCACAUCCUGGGGCUGAAGUAGGUCCCAAGGGUAUGGCUGUUCGCCAUUUAAAGUGGUACGCGAGCUGGGUUUAGAACGUCGUGAGACAGUUCGGUCCCUAUCUGCCGUGGGCGCUGGAGAACUGAGGGGGGCUGCUCCUAGUACGAGAGGACCGGAGUGGACGCAUCACUGGUGUUCGGGUUGUCAUGCCAAUGGCACUGCCCGGUAGCUAAAUGCGGAAGAGAUAAGUGCUGAAAGCAUCUAAGCACGAAACUUGCCCCGAGAUGAGUUCUCCCUGACUCCCUGAGAGUCCUGAAGGAACGUUGAAGACGACGACGUUGAUAGGCCGGGUGUGUAAGCGCAGCGAUGCGUUGAGCUAACCGGUACUAAUGAACCGUGAGG
rnacentral:rRNA from 1 species